UACGGGGGGAGCAAGCGUUGUUCGGAUUCAUUGGGCGUAAAGGGUGCGUAGGCGGCGUGGUAAGUCGGAUGUGAAAUCUUGGAGCUUAACUCCGAAACUGCAUUCGAUACUGCCGUGCUUGAGGACUGGAGAGGAGACUGGAAUUUACGGUGUAGCGGUGAAAUGCGUAGAUAUCGUAAGGAAGACCAGUGGCGAAGGCGGGGUCUCUGGACAGUUUUCCUGACGCUGAGGCACGAAGGUCAGGGGAGACAAAACUGGG
rnacentral:rRNA from 1 species